GUGUGUGUGUGUCCGGGGAGGGGAGGAGGCGCCAAGGUGCAGCCUGCGUGCGGCUCUGCGCCUCGGCGGGGCUGCGUGCGUGUGUCCCUGUCCGCGCUGCUGAAACGGGCUCUUCGAGGGAUUGGCGUCAUAUGACUCCGCCUGCUGUCCCCCCAGCAUCUCGCUCACAUCGCCCUUCCCUUGGUUCGCUGAGGGAGGGUCGGACAACCUCCCCAGGGGCCCCCGCGGCUCUGCGGAGAGAAGAGGUUCCAGCCAGGAAAGGUCCAGCUAGGAGCGCGGCGCGGGAUCUCAAAGUGUAGAUCUGGAAGGGGGCGGGGUGUGAGAGAGCGAGGGAGGGCGGGGGAGAGAGAGAGAGAGAGAGAGAGCGCGCGAGCGAGCGAGGGAGAGCGAGGGAACGAUUCAGCGAGCGCCAGAGAACGGCAGAGCGCGCACCGACGAGGGGCAGUCGGGUGCCUCUCUGAGAUGUAAGUGCGUAGAGGUCUCUCUGGCCUACCUACUAGCAGCACCAUGCAGAAGGCCAUCCGGCUCAACGAUGGCCACGUCGUGUCCCUGGGACUGCUGGCCCAGAAGGACGGCACGCGCAAAGGCUACCUGAGCAAGAGGAGUCCGGACAACCCCAAAUGGCAAACCAAGUGGUUUGCGCUGCUCCAGAACCUGCUCUUCUACUUCGAAAGCGACACCAGCCCUCGGCCCUCGGGGCUCUACCUGCUCGAGGGAAGUGUCUGCAAACGCACGCCCUCCCCGAAGCGAGGGACCUCCUCCAAGGAGUCCGGCGAGAAACAGCAACACUACUUCACAGUGAACUUCUCCAAUGACAGCCAGAAGUCCCUAGAGCUGAGGACCGAGGACGCCAAGGACUGUGACGAGUGGGUGGCAGCGAUCGCUCGCGCCAGCUAUAAGAUACUGGCUACAGAGCAUGAGGCGCUUAUGCAGAAGUACCUGCACCUGCUGCAGGUAGUGGAGACAGAGAAGACCGUGGCUAAGCAGCUGCGGCAGCAACUUGAGGAUGGUGAGGUCGAAAUCGAGCGACUGAAGACCGAGAUUACAAACCUGAUCAAGGACAACGAACGGAUCCAGUCCAACCAGCUCGUUCCUGCUACUGAGGAGGACAGUGACCUCAAGAAAAUUAAGAAGGUCCAAAGCUUCCUUCGGGGAUGGCUGUGCCGUCGAAAGUGGAAGAACAUCAUCCAGGACUAUAUCCGGUCUCCCCACGCCGACAGCAUGCGCAAGAGGAACCAGGUAGUGUUCAGCAUGCUGGAGGCCGAGGCUGAGUACGUGCAGCAACUACACAUCCUUGUCAACAAUUUCCUGCGCCCACUGCGCAUGGCUGCCAGCUCUAAGAAACCCCCUAUAACUCAUGACGACGUCAGCAGCAUCUUUCUGAACAGUGAGACCAUCAUGUUCCUGCAUCAGAUCUUCUACCAAGGCCUGAAGGCUCGUAUCUCCAGCUGGCCCACCCUGGUGCUGGCGGAUCUGUUCGACAUCCUGCUGCCAAUGCUGAACAUCUACCAGGAGUUCGUCCGCAACCACCAGUACAGCCUCCAGAUCCUUGCACACUGCAAGCAAAACCGGGACUUUGACAAGCUUCUCAAGCAGUAUGAGGCCAAGCCAGACUGCGAGGAGCGCACACUGGAGACCUUCCUCACUUACCCCAUGUUCCAGAUCCCCAGGUACAUCCUGACACUCCAUGAGCUGCUGGCCCACACACCUCAUGAGCAUGUGGAGCGCAACAGCCUGGACUAUGCCAAAUCCAAACUUGAGGAGCUGUCCAGGAUCAUGCAUGACGAAGUCAGUGAGACCGAGAACAUCCGCAAAAACCUGGCCAUUGAGCGUAUGAUCACCGAGGGCUGUGAGAUCCUCCUUGACACCAGCCAGACCUUCGUGCGCCAAGGUUCCCUCAUCCAGGUGCCCUUGUCAGAUAAGAGCAAGAUGUCUAGGAGCCGCCUGGGAUCUCUGUCCAUUAAGAAGGAGGGUGAGCGCCAGUGUUUCCUGUUCUCCAAGCAUCUCAUCAUCUGCACCAGAGGCUCUGGUGGGAAACUGCACCUAACCAAGAAUGGAGUCAUAUCCCUAAUCGACUGCACCUUACUGGAUGAACCAGAAAACCCGGAUGACGAAGGCAAAGGACAAGAGAUAGAACACCUGGAGUUUAAGAUCGUGGUGGAGCCAAAGGAUUCCCCACCCUUCACCGUCAUCCUGGUGGCCUCAUCCCGGCAGGAGAAGGCAGCAUGGACCAGUGACAUCAUCCAGUGCGUGGAUAAUAUCCGCUGCAAUGGGCUCAUGAUGAAUGCCUUUGAAGAAAAUUCCAAGGUCACCGUGCCUCAGAUGAUCAAGUCUGAUGCUUCCUUAUAUUGUGAUGAUGUUGACAUUCGCUUCAGCAAGACCAUGAAUUCUUGCAAAGUGCUUCAGAUCCGCUAUGCCAGCGUGGAUCGCCUGCUGGAGCGCCUGACUGAUCUUCGCUUCCUGAGUAUUGACUUUCUCAACACUUUCCUGCACUCCUAUCGUGUCUUCACCACUGCUAUGGUGGUCCUAGACAAGCUGAUCAACAUCUACAGAAAACCCAUGAGUGCGAUUCCUGCCAGGUCACUGGAACUCUUGUUUUCCAGCAGCCACAACGCCAAGCUUCUGUACGGAGAUGCCCCCAAGUCUCCUCGCGCUAGCCGCAAGUUCUCCUCACCACCACCCUUGGCCAUCGGGACAUCGUCCCCCAGCCGCCGUCGGAAGCUGUCCCUCAACAUCCCCAUCAUCACAGGCGGAAAGGCACUGGAACUGGCUUCGCUCGGGUGCAGCUCUGACGGCUACACCAACAUACACUCACCCAUAUCUCCCUUCGGCAAAACCACGCUGGACACCGGCAAGCUCUGUAUAGCCAGCACCUUACCCAAGACUCCGGAGGAGGUUGAGACGCCGACCCCAGAGAAGCCUGGGGAGCUAUCAGCCUUCAAGAAGCAUAGCCCUGAUGUCUUGAAAGAAGAGUCUGAUGAUGACCAGAACCACAGUGGUGAAGAAGAUACAGAAGUAUCACCAGUUAAAUCUCCACCAACACCGAAAUCGUUCCUAAACAGAACCAUUACAGAGUUCCCAUUCUUUAACUACAACUACAACUACAACAUGAUGACCACAUGUCGUGAUCUGGUGGACAACAACCGCAGCACUCUCUCAGCCACUUCUGCCUUUGCCAUAGCGACUGCAGGAGCCAAUGAAGGCCCCUCAAACAAGGAGGUGUUUCGAAGAAUGUCUUUGGCCAACACAGGCUUUUCCUCUGACCAGAGAAAUAUCGACAAGGAGUUUGUGAUCCGCAGAGCUGCCACCAAUCGUGUGCUGAAUGUGCUCCGCCACUGGGUCACCAAACACACCCAGGACUUUGAUACCGACGAUAUGCUCAAAUACAAGGUGAUCUGCUUCCUGGAAGAGGUCAUGCAUGACCCAGACCUUCUGACUCAAGAGCGAAAGGCAGCCGCCAACAUCAUCAGGACUCUGACCCUAGAAGAAACAACUGACAACCAUAGCAUGCUGGAAGAGGUCAUACUGAUGACGGAGGGUGUGAAGAUUGAGCCCUUCGAAAACCACCCAGCCCUGGAGAUAGCAGAGCAGCUGACCCUGCUGGAUCACCUUGUCUUCAGGAGUAUUCCUUAUGAAGAAUUCUUUGGCCAGGGCUGGAUGAAGCCCGAGAAGUAUGAAAGGACACCUUACAUUAUGAAAACCACCAAACACUUCAACCAUGUCAGUAACUUCAUUGCUUCAGAAAUUAUCCGAAACGAGGACAUCAACGCAAGAGCAAGCGCCAUCGAGAAGUGGGUGGCUGUGGCCGACAUAUGUCGCUGCCUGCACAACUAUAAUGCCGUGCUGGAGAUCACUUCCUCCAUCAACCGCAGUGCAAUCUUCCGACUCAAAAAGACAUGGCUCAAAGUUUCUAAGCAGACGAAAUCUUUGCUUGACAAGCUCCAAAAGCUUGUGUCAUCGGAUGGCAGAUUUAAGAAUCUCAGAGAGGCUUUGAGAAAACAGAUGUUGAACUCAUCUGUGCUAUCCGGCCGUCUCUCCUCCGCCCGGGCUCCCUGGAGCCCUUGUGGACUGUGCUUAUACGAAGCUGCCCCUGUGCAUUCACCAACUGUCUGGGCGUUGCUCCAUCCGCCUCCUUCACACGGCUUCCUCAUCCACCGCAGCCACUACUGCUACCUAACUGUCUCCGUGGCUCCCAUUCUGUCUGACCCUCUCCUGACUGUCUUCCCUUUCAGGUCACCUGUAUGCCUGUGCGUCAGAAAGCUGCCACGGUACAUGGACAUGAGCCCGUGCUCAGAGCUACACAUCAGAGGCCUGGUCCCUCACACCAGAGUCUCAAUCUCUUGUAACUACAGACCCUGAGAAUCACCCACCCUUUCCAGAGGACACGUCCAGGAAAGUGGUCAGAGGGCCAGGGUUUCCCACUCUGGCCCUCAAACCUAGGUGACAAGAAGACAGGUCUUGGGAACGCCGCACUGAGUGACUGCUGGAACUUGGGCAUGGGUGGCACGGCCUCCCCAGAGGUGACUGAACACAGAAUAACAGUGGAAAAAACUGAACCAGGAGGUAGCUGGGAACAGCUGGGGAACUCCACUGCGCGUAUGCCAGAGAAGUAAAGGAAGGCAUUUGGGGUCAUAGAGGGAGGAGAUUGAAGUAAGACCCCUUCUCCUGGCUUGCGCGUGAGGGCUCAGGCAGCUCCAUACUAUCCCACCCUCCAGCCUGGCUGGGGAUCUAUCAAGGCCUGUGUGUGCCCUGUGAUUCUUCAUAACUAUAAACCCCUUUGCCUCUAGCCAGGCAAGAUCUGCAUGCAGACUGCUCUGCUCUUAGCGGACGUUCCUUUCCUUAAGUAAAAAACUUUUGUGGAUGCCAUUUCUUUCCAAGUUGUGAUCCACCCUGUGUCCCUUACCUGGGGAUGUAUCUCACCGACCUGGUGUUCAUCGAGGAGGGGACACCCAACUACACAGAGGACGGACUGGUCAACUUCUCCAAGAUGAGGAUGAUCUCCCAUAUCAUC